rnacentral:rRNA from 1 species
AGAGUUUGAUCAUGGCUCAGGAUGAACGCUAGCUACAGGCUUAACACAUGCAAGUCGAGGGGCAGCAUUGGAGUAGCAAUACUCAGAUGGCGACCGGCGCACGGGUGAGUAACACGUAUCCAACCUGCCGCUUACUCGGGGAUAGCCUUUCGAAAGAAAGAUUAAUACCCGAUGGUAUAAAGAGUUCGCAUGUUCUCUUUAUUAAAGAAUUUCGGUAAGCGAUGGGGAUGCGUUCCAUUAGAUAGUUGGCGGGGUAACGGCCCACCAAGUCUACGAUGGAUAGGGGUUCUGAGAGGAAGGUCCCCCACAUUGGAACUGAGACACGGUCCAAACUCCUACGGGAGGCAGCAGUGAGGAAUAUUGGUCAAUGGACGAGAGUCUGAACCAGCCAAAGUAGCGUGAAGGAUGACUGCCCUAUGGGUUGUAAACUUCUUUUAUAAGGGAAUAAAGUGAGGGACGUGUCCCUUUUUGUAUGUACCUUAUGAAUAAGGAUCGGCUAACUCCGUGCCAGCCGCUGC